rnacentral:rRNA from 1 species
UACGUAGGUGGCAAGCGUUGUCCGGAUUUACUGGGCGUAAAGAGCGCGCAGGCGGUCGAUUUAGUCGCGUGUGAAAGCCCCCGGCUCAACUGGGGAGGGUCACGCGAUACUGAUCGACUCGAAGGCAGGAGAGGGUAGUGGAAUUCCCGGUGUAGUGGUGAAAUGCGCAGAUAUCGGGAGGAACACCUAUGGCGAAGGCAGCUCGCUGGGACGUUACUGACGCUGAGACGCGAAAGCGUGGGGAGCAAACAGG